rnacentral:piRNA from 1 species
UUUAACGUUAAUGAAGUCUAG